GCCUCUUCCCAAAAAGACAAAUAAUUAAAACCCUUCCGAAAUUAAGACCAAGAAACCCGAUCUCUUUCCUUUGCCAACUCCCACUUCUUUACUCCAUUUUUCUCUCUAAGCUCCGAGGUUGAGAGAGAGGAGAGCGAAAAACCCUAAUCGAGAUGAACAACUACCACGUUUACGAGGCGAUCGGCCGCGGAAAGCACUCGGUGGUUUAUAAAGGGAGGAAGAAGAAGACGAUCGAGUAUUAUGCCGUCAAGAGCGUGGAGAAGUCCCAAAGAUCGAAGGUCCUUCAAGAAGUUCGGAUGCUUCACUCUCUAGAUCAUCCAAAUGUACUGAAAUUUGAUUCUUGGUAUGAGACCUCUGCCCACUUAUGGCUGGUGUUGGAAUAUUGUGUUGGUGGAGACCUCAUGACUUUAUUGAAGCAGGAUAGUCGAUUUCCUGAAGAUUCUAUACAUGACUUGGCGUGUGAUGUUGUCAAAGCUCUUCAGUUCUUACAUUCGAAAGGGAUCAUUUAUUGUGAUCUUAAGCCAUCAAACAUCUUGCUAGAUGAGUAUGGACGAAUGAAGCUCUGUGAUUUUGGAUUAGCAAGGCGAUUAAGUGACAUAGAGAAAAGCUCUCUUGCCAUGUUGCCACAGUCAAAGCGAGGAACACCAUGCUAUAUGGCUCCUGAGCUAUUUCAGGAUGGCGGAGUCCACUCUUAUGCUUCUGAUUUUUGGGCACUGGGUUGUGUAUUAUAUGAAUGUUAUACUGGAAGGCCUCCUUUUGUAGGCAAAGAAUUUACCCAAUUGGUGAAAUCCAUAAUUUCAGAUCCUACACCACCCCUCCCGGAUAACCCUUCUAAAUCUUUUGAAAAUCUUAUUAACUGCCUCCUAAUAAAAGAUCCAGCUGAAAGGUUACAGUGGCCUGAAAUUUGUGAGCAUAGUUUUUGGAGAACGAAUUUCACUUCAGUACCGCUUCCUCGUCAGCCUGCUUUUAGUAACAUGCUUCAACUUUCUUCUAAACCAUACCUUUCAGAGCGAAAUGGUGAUAGACCUUCCCAACAGAGAACUCCUCCCAAGCGUCGCGAAAGUAACGCAAAUGGAGUUUUGAAGAAAGAUGAAAAUUCUACUAAGGGGAAUGGGGUUUUUGAGACACCGGCUAAGAAUGUGCAUGGUGGCAGAAAAAUUACAAAAGCUUCUCGGAGAGUCGAUGCUGCAAAAGGUGUAAAUCUUCUUAGGCUGUCAAGGAUGGCUAAGUUGAAUUUGCAGAGAGAGAAUGAGAAGGAAAACUACAGGCGACCGCUGCCUGAGACUUGUGAGAAUGAGGCUGAAGUGAAAAUUGAAAACAAUGACAUGGAACUAGAUUUUAGUGAGAAUCCUGAAGAUGAUACACCUGAUGAAUCUGACGGAUCUGAGAAUCCUUCUUGCAUGCCUACAGAGAAACUUCCAAUUCAAAAUGCUGAUGAAAGAGUUGAAGAGGUAGAGCAUAAAAUGAGUCAGUUGGAUAUUCUUCCAGAGAAUAUCAUCGUUGGGCCUGAUGACCUGAAGAAACUUGAGCAGGAUACAUGCUCAGAGCCACUUGAGGUGGUUGCUACCCCACCCAGUGUUAACCUUAGGAAAGCUCAACGUGUGAAAGUGGCUUCUGGGAGUGCCCCUGAUUCAGAGGCAUCUAGGUCAUUCAAUAAUUUAUCAGAAGUGUUUUGGCAUUCAUCAGAUCUCUCAGUCAAACCAGUAAUGCCCAGUAGAAAAGGUGAUAAAGCUUUGGAUGGUAUUCCCUCCUUGCCAUUUGAAGCUGUUCCUGCAUCUGAUUAUGUUAAGCUACCUCCAGAGCAACUGAACGCACUUAACUCUUGCAUAAUUCAUAGUUUGAGUGGGAGCUCUCAGGUCUCAGAAAAACAGAAUGCCAUCAGAUACUUAGAAAUUUUAAGUGGAAAUGCUGAUGCUGCAAAUAUCAUAACCAAUGGGCCGGUGAUGUUGUUGCUUGUAAAAAUGCUAAGGCUUUCAAAGUUACCUGCCUUGCGUGUUCAGGUUGCUUCAGUGAUGGGUUUGUUGAUUCGCCAUUCUACUUUUAUUGAAGCUGAUCUUGCAAAUUCUGGAAUUGUAAAUGCACUAACAGAUGGCUUAAGGGACAAACAUGACAAAAUAAGGAGGUUCUCCAUGGCUGCUUUAGGGGAACUGCUUUUUUACAUAUCUACUCAGGCAGAUAAUAAUGCCAAAGAUGGCAAUACCCUUGAAUCUCCGUCGAAGGACAACCGGUCUACAUCCAGUUGGCAGGUCCCAAAUUCGGUGAUUGCUUUGGUUUCAUCCAUCUUGCGUAGAGGAGAGGAUGAUGUUGCCCAGUUGUAUGCUUUAAGAACAAUUGAGAACAUAUGCAGUCAAGGAGGGGACUGGACAUCGCGUUUUGUCAGCCAGGAUGUCAUUGGAAAUCUCUGUUAUAUAUAUAAAGCAACAGGGAAGCAGGAGAGUACAAGGCUUAUUGCUGGAUCUUGUCUAGUCCGUCUAGCUCGAUUCAGCCCACAGUGCAUACAGUCAGUGCUUGAGAGGUUGUCAUUCAAGGACACUGCAUCUGCGCUCAUCAAGGGCAACCCGCGUGAGCAGCAGAUCAGCCUAAAUCUACUUAACAUGUCAAUUCUAAGCAGCCAUUUGUUAACAAACAUGGGCCGACAGCUGCUAUCAUUAAUGGAGGAAAAGCACUUGGUCCCAGGUCUUGUAUCACUUAUCGAGCAGGGAAGUGAAGUUUUACGUGGGAAAGCACUCAUCUUUGUGGCACUUCUGUGUAAGAACAGCCGCAGAUGGCUUCCCCAUUUCUUUUGCAAUGCUAAAGUACUAUCUGCAGUUGAUAGGUUGGGGAAAGAGAAGGUUGGGUUCAUUCAGAAAUGCGUGGAAGCUUCUGUGAAACUAGUUGCUAAUACUGUGCCAUCUAUUCUUGAAACUGUUUCUGGAGACAUACAACAGAUGAUGGGAGGUAAACGCCAUGGACCGAUUGCUGCUCUCACUGGACGUGGUAACACAAAGAGUAGUGCUCAUCUAUUUCCGGUUAUUCUUCAUCUUCUUGGAAGCUCUUCUUUCAAGCAUAAGGUGGUGAGCAGUCAUGUCUUGCUCCAGUUGGCAAAUAUUAUCAAGCUUUUAGAGGCACCUUUUCAGGGAAGAGAUGAUUUCCAAAUCACAUUGCUUCGAGUACUUGAAUCAGUCACAGAGGAGCCUUCUGUUAUUCUUGAUGAUCCUAAGAUGUUUACUAGUCGAAUCCUUCCUAGCCUAGCCAUUAUGUACAAGGGCAACAAAGAUGGAGAUGCCAGAUUCUUAUGUUUGAAAUUAUUAUUUGAUGUGAUGGUUGUGAUCUUCAGUGAUACUACAGUACCUGAUGAUGAACAUAUAGUGGAGGAUCUGAGGUCAAUAUCACGAACCUAUUUUCUUCCUCUUUACCCAACACUUAUUGAAGAUGAAGAUCCCAUUCCAAUGUAUGCUCAGAAGCUGUUGGUAAUGCUCAUUGAAUUUAAUUAUGUUAAAGUCUCAGAUAUUCUGCAUUUGAAAACAGUCUUGCAGUGCUUUGAGUUCUUACUUGGCGAUCUUUCUAAUGCAAAUGUGAACAAUGUGAAGCUCUGUCUGGCCCUAGCAUCUGCUCCUGAAAUGGAGACUAAAAUUCUAUCCCAUCUGCGAGUGGUCAGAAAAAUUGGAAAUCUUCUUGAGCUUGUGAAUGCGAAGGAGAUGGAGGAUUUUCUUGAACCAACGUUGGGUCUUUGCAAGGCAUUCAUUUUGCAUGGCAUUGGUAGCAAUAAAGCCUUAGCUCUUUGUAAAGAACCGGCUCUCUUAGGCAACAAUGCCUUUGACAUGAGUAUUGCUGUUGAUCAGCAGCAAUGCAUCAAGGAUGUCAGUGACUUUGGUAGCAACAUUGGUGUGUUUCUAGAUUUAAUUGGGAAUUCUGAUGCACAUAUUGCCAAUUUGGCAUCAGAGUGUGUGGUUUUGCUGCUUAAGGCAUCCCCUAGAGAAGCCACAAUGGGUCUUUUAACAAACCUUCCCAAAAUCUGCAGUCUUCUGGAAUCAUUGCACUAUGAUUCCUCCGCCUUGCAGUUGCUGCGUCUUCUGUAUGGCCUUGCCUUUUCUUGUAGACAAUAUCUGUCUCAGGCAAUGAUUCUGUCAAUAUCUAUUCCAGCGGUCAUGCAAAUGGAAGCUGUUGUCUCAAAACUCAAGAGCUCCAGUAUUCAUGGUGUUGCAGAGGCUGCUUUGAAUUUAGGCUUAGAGUUGCAACGCCUGCCUCGGUGUGUUUGAGCUUAUACAUCUUGAAUUCAGGAAUGAUUUAAUAAAGAAUGAUCUUGCUCUUACCGAGCUUUGCUGGCCUCCUGGCCAUGGUUUCAGGCAUCACUGUCUCUGCGAUGAAGAUGCAUCGAUGCAAGCUUGGCAACAAGGUCAGCUGCAGAAACUAAACCAGAAUCACUAAGUGGGGGUGCUUGGUACCGGAGGAUUUGGCAGGAGAUACACUUAUGAUAAGAUUAAAAUUGUGUGAAAGUUCAUAUAUUUUGUGAGGACGGGGAUUGGGAAUUUAAAAAGUGUUUGUUAAUGGAUUUGGUAGAGGGUAGAUCCAGUUUAUUUGAUUUUUGUAUCACCAGAAAAAUUGGUGGACAGGAGACAAGCUAUAAAGAAGUUAUGGACCCUAUAAUAUCUCAAGGAAUUAUGGAUUUGAAGAAGUAAAUAAAAAUUGACAGUGCACGGUAAAGCAAA